AUUGAACGCUGGCGGAAUGCUUUACACAUGCAAGUCGAACGGCAGCACGGACUUCGGUCUGGUGGCGAGUGGCGAACGGGUGAGUAAUGUAUCGGAACGUGCCCAGUCGUGGGGGAUAACGUAGUGAAAAUUACGCUAAUACCGCAUACGAUCUAUGGAUGAAAGCGGGGGAUCGCAAGACCUCGCGCGAUUGGAGCGGCCGAUAUCAGAUUAGGUAGUUGGUGGGGUAAAGGCCCACCAAGCCAACGAUCUGUAGCUGGUCUGAGAGGACGACCAGCCACACUGGAACUGCGACACGGUCCAGACUCCUACGGGAGGCAGCAGUGGGGAAUUUUGGACAAUGGGCGAAAGCCUGAUCCAACCAUUCCGCGUGCAGGAUGAAGGCCCUCGGGUUGUAAACUGCUUUUGUACAGAACGAAAAGGUUUCUACUAAUACUAGGAGCUCAUGACGGUACUGUAAGAAUAAGCACCGGCUAACUACGUGCCAGCAGCCGCCGUAA
rnacentral:rRNA from 1 species